rnacentral:rRNA from 1 species
UUAGCGGCGAACGGGUGAGGAACACGUGAAGAAUCUGCCUUCAACUCUGGGAUAACUCCGGGAAACCGGGGCUAAUACCGGAUAUGAGCCUUGAUCGCAUGAUCGGGGCUGGAAAGUUUUUCGGUUGAAGAUGACUUCGCGGCCUAUCGGCUUGUUGGUGAGGUAAUGGCUCACCAAGGCGACGACGGGUAGCCGGCCUGAGAGGGCGACCAGCCACACUGGGACUGAGACACGGCCCAGACUCCUACGGGAGGCAGCAGUGGGGAAUAUUGGGCAAUGGAGGAAACUCUGACCCAGCGACGCCGCGUGAGGGAUGAAGGCCUUCGGGUUGUAAACCUCUUUCAGUAGGGAAGAAGCGAAAGUGACGGUACCUACAGAAGAAGCACCGGCUAACUAUGUGCCAGCAGCCGCGGUAAUACAUAGGGUGCAAGCGUUGUCCGGAAUUAUUGGGCGUAAAGAGCUCGUAGGUGGUUCGAUACGUCGGAUGUGAAAAUCAGGGGCU